GGGGAGUACGACCGCAAGGUUAAAACUCAAAUGAAUUGACGGGGACCCGCACAAGUAGUGGAGCAUGUGGUUUAAUUCGAAGAUACGCGCAGAACCUUACCAACACUUGACAUGUUCGUCGCGACUCUAAGAGAUUAGAGUUUUCGGUUCGGCCGGACGAAACACAGGUGCUGCAUGGCUGUCGUCAGCUCGUGUCGUGAGAUGUUGGGUUAAGUCCCGCAACGAGCGCAACCCUCACUUUUAGUUGCCAUCAUUAAGUUGGGCACUCUGAAAGAACUGCCAGUGAUAAGCUGGAGGAAGGUGGGGAUGACGUCAAGUCCUCAUGGCCCUUACGUGUUGGGCUACACACGUGCUACAAUGGUAUCUACAACAGGAAGCAAGACUGCGAAGUUAAGCAAAUCCCUAAAAGAUACCUCAGUUCGGAUUGCACUCUGCAACUCGAGUGCAUGAAGCUGGAAUUACUAGUAAUCGUGGAUCAGCGUGCCACGGUGAAUGCGUUCCCGGGUCUUGUACACACCGCCCGUCACACCAUGGGAGUUGGUUCUACCUUAAGGCAAGGUUUCAAACCCUUGACCACGGUAUAGUCAGCGACUGGGGUG
rnacentral:rRNA from 1 species